rnacentral:snRNA from 1 species
GUGCUUGCUUCGGCAGCACAUAUACUAAAAUUGGAACAGUACAGAGAAGAUUAGCAUGGCCCCUGCGCAAAUAUCGAAGGACUUCUCACACUGUAGAACUUCUAAAUAACUGU